UCGCAUCCGCCAACCGGUUCAGCCGUGUCGCGGAAGGUUUUACCAACCAGCUAAUGCUUCCCGCAGGGAAGCGGAGGUCAGCG
rnacentral:ncRNA from 1 species